UAAUAUUAUAUAAAAUAAAAGUAAUAUCGGAAUAUUCCAAAUAUUAUAUUAUCUUAAAUCGUUAGUACUCAGAAGACCAAAAUAACCAAUAAUAUUUUUCAAGUUACAAUUUGACAAUUUGUGUUUUAAAUUUAAACUUUUAAGGCUUUCAAUCACAUUCACAAUAAAUGUCAAUAAUACAAUGCCAAUUAGAUAUUCAGUCACUAUCGUGAAUUCGUGAAUAGGCAUCUAAUCUAUCACGAUUUGGUGCUAUACAGCGACUGUAUGGAAAUCUUGCAGAAUGUUCGGACGAUAUAAACCAGGUUUUGAAUAAUUGAAUCAAUAUAAAGAAAAAUAGAAGAUGAACAUAUUUGAUGGGUUUUUAUAAUAAUAUAACAUAAUGAUACAUGUGCACCAAGAAGGUAUGAUUGCGUGAGGUAAACGAUUAUUAAAAUCACAGACUCUACUACUAUAUGGAACGAUGGAAAUGUUGCUUGGAUUUUUGCAGAGUUUCCUGCAAACAAUGAAUUGUGUUUAAAGUAAAAUUAUUUUAGAACUGAAUGACUCGACGAACAUAUAUUAUUAUUGUGUCGGUCCCUUGAUACCGGAACGUAUGGCACGGAAACUGUAUAUGAAUACGAAGACAAUUGUUUCAGUGUUAAAGUUGUUUUGAAUUUACAACGCGAUUAAUAUCUUCAAGUUUCGGUCAGGUGAUAUUGUCCUGCGGGGAACAAAGUACAAACGAAACGCCGUGGAGAUAAUGGGUUUUGAACAAAUAUGACUGUUGUAAUCUAACGCCAAACCAUGUGUAAAUAUUAGUUCUUUGCAGUGUUAAUAGUUUUCAUUUGUAGUGGAGACGUAUCAAGUAGAUGACAAGUAUAACGCAUACAUUUUUUAUUUUUAUUUAUAGGGACUGCGAAUGACAUAUUAUUAUUAAUAAUUAUUGAAAAUCAUUCAAACUAUAUCUUCAUGACAACUAAAACUGUCAGAAUUUGAUUUACAAAUAUACCACACCUCGAACUUCCAAUACUCGUCAGUUGGCGGUGGUUAGACAAGAGAAAAUCAAAAUAUAAUAUAUAAGCAAACAAAUUAGUAAUUAGCAUACAUAUUGUAUUUGACGAGAUUUCUUCAUAAUGUCAGGUAUGGAAAUGAAUUCAUAGCUCCAAUAAUCAAAUUAGACGAAUUUCAGUGAUAAAAUAUGCGGUACUUCCGAUCUGU